AAUUAUUAUUGCUAAGUAAUGCUAACUCAUUUGGUGUCAUUUAAUGUGGGUUUUUGGUUGUUGUUUUUUUUUUUUUUUAGUAAAUCAUCAAUUUAAGUCAACUUAAGUUAAUUAAAGCUAGAAUUUAUGUAGUGUAGAACGUGAUACUGAAGUUUUUGAAGAAAGAAUUUUCCGAUCUUUCGGAUAACCUUGAACUAAUGCAUAUGGCAGGGAAAUUUCUCUUAAUUUUUUUGUGGCUUAGGAUAAAACAGCUCAGAAUCUGCCAAAAUCUGAAUACCUACACUCAGUUUAUGGUUACAGUUCACACACCGUUAUAUGCAGUGUAUGUUUAAUGCAAGCUUGAUCUCCCGUAGAGCGUAUGUCAGGUUUUAAAGAUACCUGAAUUUUCUUGUCUUGUUUAAUACUUUGGUAGUUUUCAAUGACGUUGUUCAAGAGAGUUUUCUCGAAUCUACUGCAACUUUGGAAAAUCCGUCUCAUGAGAUAUCGAGAUUCAAAACCAAGUUAGAAGAAAAUCUCACUCCCUGAUGAAGAAUGUCAGCACCGUUAUGACAAGGUUUACACGUUUCUGUUCAAUUCAUACACGUAGAAAGAAAAAAUUCAAAUAUCAAACUAUAAAUUGGUGGUGUAUUGGAGCUUUCAACAUCAUCAGCAUUCUUCUCCUCCUACCUAAGAAAACUCAUACUCAAAAUCUUUUCACUACGGAAACUGAGGAUUUUAACAAUCUUGCAAAUCAGUUUGAUGUUGCUUCAAUAGAAUCAUCUGAUGACAUCAAAGAGGUUGUCAAUGUAUCCUAAAUCAAUUCAAGGCUUGUUCUUUAAUACCGGGAGUAUAGCAUUAUAGGCAAAGUAAUCACAAGUUCAACUAUGAGCAGAGGCCAAGUUGAAAGAUUUGCAAGACUAAUUUGGGGAAACAAUGUUGGAGCCUUCGAACUGAGAAAGAAGAGCGGAAACCUAUUCACUGUCAAGUUUGAAUCCAUGGAAGAAUGGAAAUGGCCUUUAUCUGAAGCUUCAUGGUGUCUGGAUGGUUUCAUGUGGAUAAUUAUACCAUGGAACCCAACUUAGAACUAUAGAGAUAUGUCUUUCGACAAGCAACAAUUUUGGGUUAUCUUCAAAGAUCUCCCUCAGGAAUUCCUUAAUAUGUAUGUUUCUAGAGAAAUGGGAUUAAUACUUGGAGAGGUUUUGGAAUUGGAUCCAGAGGAUGCAAACCCAGUGGAAACAAAUGAUGUUGGAGAUCUCAUUGAAAUAGACAUCACUAAGUCUAUUAUCAUAGGAGUGCUAAGCCAUAAUGCUGCAGAUUGUACUCAGUGGUUUACAUUCUACUACCAAAAGCAGCCACAUCAUCUCUGCCAUGCUUGCUUCAUAAUUGAUCAUGACAAGGAUGACUGCAAGAACAAAGCUAACUAUGUAAGGGAUCUUUCUCAAAAUAUCUUCAUGUUUCUUGACAAAAUUCCCUAUAGCAUGAAAAAAAAUAAGUACUGGAAUAUCCAUGAAACCCCAACAAAAAUCUCUCGAAAUAAGAACAACAAGAGCUGAAGUGCAAACAUGGUUUUAUUUGUCAGGCCAGAAGAUGGCCAAUACUGUAACUCAGUGUACCCAGAACAAGCUCAGGAUGAUAAUAACUCCACUGCAUAUUCUUUUCAAGAAAGGGGACAAAGCAGCAGAAGGGGUGUAAUUAGGAGGUUCAAAAGAACUAGAGAAGCUGAAAUCUCCAGAGCAAGUUCAAAUGAAGUAAUGAAACCUUGAGGAGGAGGAAGAGAAUGAGCAACAUAUGGAAAACACUCAACAGCCAAGUAUGCAAGGAGCUGGAGACUGUGACAGACGCAUUGUUAACUACCAAAACUCUCAAGAAGGACAAGGAAAUUCAAUGGUUAAUUGGUGGAAGCCUGGACCAUGGUAGAAAGAGUUAGAGAUGUCUCUCAGGCUGAAGCAAUUGCAUCCCUUAAAGCUCUCCAAUGGAUAUAUCAAUUGCAACUUCCGAAUGUCAUAGUGGAAGGUGAUAGAGAGUAUCAAUGGUUUGUACGACAUCUUUCCCUGAGAAGAUGGUAAUAUUAUCAAGGAAUGUCAGCAUUUAGUUCAGUAUUUAGGUUCUGUUGUGGUGUGUUUUAGAAAUAGGAAGUGUAAUCAAGUGGCAGAUAUUUUAGCCAGGUAUGCUAAGACCAACAAUUGUAUUAGAAAAUGGAAUGUGAAUCUUCCAGACAAUGUAAUGGCUAGAAUUGAGAUUGAAAA